CGCACGGUAAACGAUGGAUGCCCGCUGUGUGCCCCUGGGGUACGUGGCCAAGCGAAAGCGUUAAGCAUCCCACCUGGGGAGUACGCCGGCAACGGUGAAACUCAAAGGAAUUGACGGGGGCCCGCACAAGCGGAGGAACAUGUGGUUUAAUUCGAUGAUACGCGAGGAACCUUACCCGGGCUUGAACUGCAGAGGAAGCACUUAGAGAUAUGUGCGCCCUUCGGGGUCUCUGCGGAGGUGC
rnacentral:rRNA from 2 species